rnacentral:rRNA from 1 species
GACGAACGCUGGCGGCGUGCUUAACACAUGCAAGUCGAACGGAAAGGCCCUGCUUUUGUGGGGUGCUCGAGUGGCGAACGGGUGAGUAACACGUGAGUAACCUGCCCUUGACUUUGGGAUAACUUCAGGAAACUGGGGCUAAUACCGGAUAGGAGCUCCUGCUGCAUGGUGGGGGUUGGAAAGUUUCGGCGGUUGGGGAUGGACUCGCGGCUUAUCAGCUUGUUGGUGGGGUAGUGGCUUACCAAGGCUUUGACGGGUAGCCGGCCUGAGAGGGUGACCGGCCACAUUGGGACUGAGAUACGGCCCAGACUCCUACGGGAGGCAGCAGUGGGGAAUAUUGCACAAUGGGCGGAAGCCUGAUGCAGCAACGCCGCGUGCGGGAUGACGGCCUUCGGGUUGUAAACCGCUUUCGCCUGUGACGAAGCGUGAGUGACGGUAAUGGGUAAAGAAGCACCGGCUAACUACGUGCCAGCAGCCGCGGUGAUACGUAGGGUGCGAGCGUUGUCCGGAUUUAUUGGGCGUAAAGGGCUCGUAGGUGGUUGAUCGCGUCGGAAGUGUAAUCUUGGGGCUUAACCCUGAGCGUGCUUUCGAUACGGGUUGACUUGAGGAAGGUAGGGGAGAAUGGAAUUCCUGGUGGAGCGGUGGAAUGCGCAGAUAUCAGGAGGAACACCAGUGGCGAAGGCGGUUCUCUGGGCCUUUCCUGACGCUGAGGAGCGAAAGCGUGGGGAGCGAACAGGCUUAGAUACCCUGGUAGUCCACGCUGUAAACGGUGGGUACUAGGUGUGGGGUCCAUUCCACGGGUUCCGUGCCGUAGCUAACGCUUUAAGUACCCCGCCUGGGGAGUACGGCCGCAAGGCUAAAACUCAAAGGAAUUGACGGGGCCCCGCACAAGCGGCGGAGCAUGCGGAUUAAUUCGAUGCAACGCGUAGAACCUUACCUGGGUUUGACAUGGAUCGGGAGCGCUCAGAGAUGGGUGUGCCUCUUUUGGGGUCGGUUCACAGGUGGUGCAUGGCUGUCGUCAGCUCGUGUCGUGAGAUGUUGGGUUAAGUCCCGCAACGAGCGCAACCCUUGUUCACUGUUGCCAGCACGUUAUGGUGGGGACUCAGUGGAGACCGCCGGGGUCAACUCGGAGGAAGGUGGGGAUGACGUCAAGUCAUCAUGCCCCUUAUGUCCAGGGCUUCACGCAUGCUACAAUGGCUGGUACAGAGAGUGGCGAGCCUGUGAGGGUGAGCGAAUCUCGGAAAGCCGGUCUCAGUUCGGAUUGGGGUCUGCAACUCGACCUCAUGAAGUCGGAGUCGCUAGUAGUCGCAGAUCAGCAACGCUGCGGUGAAUACGUUCCCGGGGCU